rnacentral:rRNA from 1 species
AAUGGCCGCAGUAUUUUGACUGUGCAAAGGUAGCAUAAUCAUUAGUUUCUUAAUUAGAAACUGGAAUGAAAGGUUGGACGAGAAAAUAUCUGUCUCUUUAUAAAUUUUUUAGAAUUUUAUUUUUAAGUUAAAAAGCUUAAAUUUAUUUAAAAGACGAGAAGACCCUAUAGAGUUUAAUAAAAUUAUUUAUGAAAAUUUAAUUUGAAUUAUUUAAAUUUUAUAGGUAUAUUUUAUUUAAUUGGGGUGAUGGAAAAAUUUAUAAAACUUUUUUUUUAUAUAAACAUUUAUUUAUGAUUUAAUGAUCCAUUAAUUUUAUGAUUAAAAGAUUAAAUUACCUUAGGGAUAACAGCGUAAUUUUUUCUUAGAGUUCUAAUCGAUGAAAAAGAUUGCGACCUCGAUGUUGGAUUAAAAUUUAUUUUUGGUGUAGAAGCUAAAAUAAUUAGGUCUGUUCGACCUUUAAAAUUUUACAUGAUCUGAGUUUAAACCGGUGUGAGCCAGGUUGGUUUCUAUCUUUAAAUUAAUAAAAUAUUUUAGUACGAAAGGACCAAGUAUUUAUAAUAAUUAU